rnacentral:rRNA from 1 species
AGCGAACGCUGGCGGCAGGCCUAACACAUGCAAGUCGAACGAACCGUUCGGGGUUAGUGGCGGACGGGUGUGUAACAGGUGGGAACGGUACUACAGGGUCGGAAUAACUCAGGGACACUGGUGAUAAUACCGAAUGUGCCCUACGGGGGAAAGAUUAUUCGACCUUAGAGCGGCCCGAGUCUGAUUAGCUAGUUGGUUGAGGUAAUGGUUCACCAAGGCGACGAUCAGUAGCUGGUAUGAGAGGAUGAUCAGCCACACUGGGACUGGGACACGGCCCAAACUCCUACGGGAGGCAGCAGUGGGGAAUCUUGCGCAAUGGGCGAAAGCCUGACGCAGCCAUGCCGCGUGAAUGAUGAAGGUCUUAGGAUUGUAAAAUUCUUUCACCGGGGACGAUAAUGACGGUACCCGGAGAAGAAGCCCCGGCUAACUUCGUG